rnacentral:rRNA from 1 species
AUGAUCAGCAGGCAGCUCCUGCUCACCUACCUCUACCUGCUCAUCUACAUCUGCCUCUCGUCGGGGGUCAUCCUCUUCAACAAAUGGGUGCUAUCUCCUAAGUACUUCAAAUUCCCCUUUCCCAUUACUCUCACAAUGAUUCACAUGUCAUUUUCUGGAGUCGUGGCGUUCUUCCUAGUCCGUGUUUUCAAGGUUGUUGCACCUGUCAAGAUGACUUUCCAAAUAUAUGCCACAUCUGUAAUUCCCAUUAGUGCCUUCUUUGCGUCAAGUCUUUGGUUCGGAAAUACAGCAUACUUAUACAUUUCAGUGGCCUUCAUUCAAAUGCUCAAGGCUUUGAUGCCUGUGGCGACAUUUAUAAUGGCCGUUCUAUGUGGUACUGACAAAUUAAGACGGGACCUUUUCUUGAACAUGGUGCUGGUCAGUGUUGGUGUUGUAGUUUCAUCAUAUGGGGAGAUUCAUUUUAAUGUAAUAGGAACAUUAUACCAAGUAACUGGCAUUGUUGCGGAAGCCCUCAGGCUGGUCCUGACACAGGUCCUCCUCCAAAAAAAGGGAUUAACCCUGAAUCCUAUUACAAGUCUGUAUUACAUAGCGCCUUGCAGUUUCAUCUUCCUAUUUGGUCCAUGGUAUUUACUGGAAAAGCCAGAAAUGGACAUCUCUCCAAUUCAGUUCAAUUAUUGGAUAUUUUUCUCGAAUGCACUUGCUGCAUUUGCGUUAAACAUAUCCAUAUUCCUAGUUAUUGGAAGGACAGGAGCAGUCACUGUCAGAGUUGCAGGAGUUCUAAAGGACUGGAUACUUAUUGCCCUCUCGACCGUUAUCUUUCCUGAAUCUACUAUUACAAGCCUCAACAUAAUUGGAUAUGCCGUUGCGCUCUCUGGCGUUGUCAUGUACAAUUAUUUGAAGAUGAAAGAUGUGACAGCAAUCCAACUUCCAAUUGAUAACACUGCUGAUAGAGCUACCAAGGAGAAGAAGGUUGUCAACAUAUACAAACCCGACAGUUCCAUUGACAGUAUUGAUGAAACUGUUGUUGGAGGUGUGGCAGUUGGAAGUAUGGCAACAGAAGCUGCAGCUGUUGACGAGGAAGCCCCAUUGAUCCCUUCAUCACGCAUCUCCCAUGUAACCCGGACACAAACAGGCGGUCUCAGUAGCAGAUGA